CACAGCAGUCCGCCCGCCUGGCGAGCUCACUCGAGCUCAUGCAGACAAGGACUUAGGUGCUUAGUUGGCUGCAAGGAGCCUCCUGGAGAAAUGUAUCUCCUUGCCAUGGCGGGUGGUUGAUAGCUUGUGGCGUCGCUUGCAGCGUCCUUUGACACGUUUAUGGACAUGUCUCACUUAUCUCGCCAUUUCCUGCUGUGGAGGUUCACCUUGUCGGACCGGAAUUUCAGCAUGUUUUCCUCAGCGGCUCCAUGCAUAUCGGCAAGUCAGUCCUUCUGCCAGAGGCUGCAAGACGGCGGUCAUAAAUCAACCAAGCGUCAGCAGGAAGUGCGACCUCCAAAGUAGGGAGCAGCCGCCUCCACUGCUCCACAUAUUGCCAAUGAAGUCG